rnacentral:rRNA from 1 species
UACGUAGGAGGCGAGCGUUGUCCGGAAUCACUGGGCUUAAAGCGUGUGUAGGCGGGUCGUUAAGUACCUUGUGAAAUCCCACGGCUCACCCGUGGAACUGCUGGGUAUACUGGCGAUCUUGAGGCAUUCAGGGGCGAGCGGAACAAAUGGUGGAGCGGUGAAAUGCGUAGAUAUCAUUUGGAACGCCAAUGGUGAAAACAGCUCGCUGGGAAUGAUCUGACACUGAGACGCGAAAGCCAGGGGAGCGAACGGG